UACGGGAGGCAGCAGUGGGGAAUAUUGGACAAUGGACGCAAGUCUGAUCUAGCCAUUCCGCGUGCAGGAUGAAGGCCCUCGGGUUGUAAACUGCUUUUGUACGGAACGAAAAGGUUUCCAUUAAUACUGGGAGCUCAUGACGGUACCGUAAGAAUAAGCACCGGCUAACUACGUGCCAGCAGCCGCGGUAAUA
rnacentral:rRNA from 1 species